CCUUACUAUUUCUUUCCAUCUUUUUAUUUUCUCAAUGUUCUGAAUUCAGAAAUGAAAUGGGAGACUUCAUAAUUAUUUCUGACCCAAAAAUAUUAAUGCUUGAAGCCUGUAAGAAGGAAAACUGAUGUGUAAUUUAGGCAUUUUUGGGAAUAGCAAAUUAUCAACUUCAAUCUUCUUUCCAGAUCUACAAUGUGGUUCUCUUUUUUAGCAAAAUGGUGGUUUAACAUCCAUUAUUUUGAAUUCUGACUGGUGAAUUUGAAAAUGAAAACAAUCAAUGUGCUCCUGAUUCACUCAAAUUGCUGCUCUAGAUUUAGUGACCCUGAGAUGAAAAUAACUUGCUCUGAUCUUGGUUCUGAAGGGCUUAAAGUUUUAAGCUAGUAUAUCAAUUAUGGAUUUUUAGGCUCUGUUCGGUUAGCUUGCUAAUGUGCGUGUUUUCAAUUUUUAUUUAUUUAUUUUGUUAGGGAAAAAAACCUUAGCAAGAUUUAGCAUUAAUAUUUCUUUUACGGUGUCUGAUUACUUGAUUGUGGAAUUUAAGUGAGGACAUUCCAUAAUAAAAAUUUGUUGUAUUGUCAAUAGGAAUGGUAUUAAACAGAG
rnacentral:misc_RNA from 1 species